rnacentral:rRNA from 1 species
AUGGUUGGGUCCUUCUGGUGGCGAGACGUCUGUUCAUUGAUGCAUUCUUUCCGUGGAAUUUUGGUCUGCUCUCCUCAUAAUUGUCUAUCAGUGUUGUUUUGGAAAGAUAACUGGUGUGACCCUCUAAUGGCCCAUAAAUUCUCACGCCUGUUUUCACAUGCAAUUAGUCCUUAUGUUUCGUUGGCCGAGCUCUUGGGUUCAAGGGAUUUGCGUGAACCUGCGGUGAACUUUGCUAUUCGCCUAUUCCUCUCUCAGAGCAAGUUUUUGUUGAACUGCAAGAACUGGAGGUGCUUCUCCUGGAGCUCAAUAUGGAUCAGGAGGCUCGUUCUGGUCAGGACCCCAGGGACGGGUAUACUGCAGCUGGCAUCUACAAAGCUCAUGUUUGCCGGUCUGGAGUGUCCAUCUAUUUUCAAGAAAAUAUGGAAACGCAAGUGCAUGCCAAAACUGAAGGUGUUUAUUUGGCUGUUGUUGGUUGAUCGACUCAAUACCCACGACAUGUUGGAUAGAAGACACUGA